CAGCAUGGUAAUCUCAUGCCAGCACUUUCUUAAAGGAUGGGCCUGGAACUGGAACAGUGACACUCCUGCCACAUUUUAUUGGUCAAAAAAAUCAAGUCCAGCCCAGAUUCAGGAGGACAGGAAAUCGCCUCCAUCUCUUGAUGGAAGGAACAGCAUGUGCAUACAGGAAUGGGAGGAAUUGUUGGCAGCCACCUUUGGAGGCAAGCCACCCUUAGCUGAAGGCUGGGAAUGGGGAAAAGUGGGUUCUGGCUUCAUCUGCUCAGCAUGGACAACAAAGAAUGUGAUACAAGCUUCUCUCUUCAGCCUCAAGAGGAUUCCGCAGAGAGACCACAGAGAGACUAUGCUGAGAGCUACCUGGAUUCCUUCCCCAGUAAGCAGACUCCUAAGUUAUCCAAGAGAGAAAGAACCCACUAACGAGGACAUCAGUACUCAGAUGGAGGUUGUGCGGGAAGCCCAAGAGAGGACCCCAGAGGACACCUUUCAGCCAGUACAUCUAGAACACAUUGGAACCCUGAGCUCAAACUGCUGAAGAUUCUCCAGGCCACUGAUUAUGAGGAUGAGCAUAACAAACCCUGUGGGAUGCAGAGUAAAGUCUCUGGAGGCAUAGGCAGAAGACAUCACUGGGGCAGCCUUGUUCUACAGCAGGAUGCUUAGAAUCCUGAGGACAGCAACUUUGGACAUGAGGGCUGGAAGGAGAGGGGACUUCUGCUCCCUGGAGCCUUCACCAGGACCCAGCAAGGGGUUUGUUUCCUUCACUCACCUCUACGUGCCUCUAAUAUGAGGGAGAAAAAGUCCUACCCCUUUUAAACUUAGAUUUUUUCCCCCUCUUUCAUUAGGGCCAGAAUACUUUUGGUGAUUAAACACAGCUGUUGCUUAAUCAAAAGACUCAUUUCCUGUUUCUGGAAGGAGGGAAGAAAUAUUUCUUGGCAUCUGUUUUCUGGGUCACUUUCAUCUCUUCUCUGAAGCUCUGCAAGGUUUCCAGUUGUAGAAAGAUGAAUUUGACCUGUAGGAACCUCUUCUGUGUUUCUAGCUUUUCCUCUAAUUCUCUGGAACUGGUUUCUUUUGAGGCUGGCAUCCACAUCAUUA